UACGUAUGUCGCAAGCGUUAUCCGGAUUUAUUGGGCGUAAAGCGCGUCUAGGCGGUUUGGUAAGUCUGAUGUGAAAAUGCGGGGCUCAACUCCGUAUUGCGUUGGAAACUGCCAAACUAGGGUACUGGAGAGGUAGGCGGAACUACAAGUGUAGAGGUGGAAUUCGUAGAUAUUUGUAGGAAUGCCGAUGGGGAAGCCAGCCUACUGGACAGAUACUGACGCUAAAGCACGAAAGCGUGGGGAGCAAAAAG
rnacentral:rRNA from 1 species